rnacentral:lncRNA from 1 species
CUUCUUUUCCUGCAAGGCUGGUACAGAAACUCCAUACGCAUUAGAGACUCAUUGUGUGUUAUAGACAUCCAUAUUGCCGAUGGCUCCUUGGGAGCGCUAUGCUCUGAAAUCCCACAAUCGAAGAACCAGUGCUCUGGGCCUUUAAAGAUUUUGACCUUUGAGGAAGGUGCAAAAACGGAGGAUGUUGAGGAUCCAUCCAUACUGGCUCGGGCUUGGAGAGAGUGCUGGCUGCCUACCUCCCAACCCAAAGGAAACCUGCUCCUCUUGGGGAGAAUGGGCACAAGGGUUUCCCACAUUUCAGGGACCCUUACUCAGGGUAACCUUUCUCCCUUCAUCAUUUGCGGUCCAAUGAAAGGAAUGGGGCGCCCUUCCGACGUCACCCGCGGAGGGCGUGCGCAGCAGCUGAG